CAGCAGUGGGGAAUAUUGCACAAUGGGCGCAAGCCUGAUGCAGCCAUGCCGCGUGUAUGAAGAAGGCCUUCGGGUUGUAAAGUACUUUCAGCAGUGAGGAAGGUGGAUAUGUUAAUAGCAUAUUCAUUUGACGUUAGCUGCAGAAGAAGCACCGGCUAACUCCGUGCCAGCAGCCGCGGUAAUACGGAGGGUGCGAGCGUUAAUCGGAAUUACUGGGCGUAAAGCGCAUGCAGGUGGUUGUUAAGUCAGAUGUGAAAGCCCGGGGCUCAACCUCGGAAUUGCAUUUGAAACUGGCAAACUAGAGUACUGUAGAGGGGGUAGAAUUUCAGGUGUAGCGGUGAAAUGCGUAGAGAUCUGAAGGAAUACCGGUGGCGAAGGCGGCCCCCUGGACAGAUACUGACACUCAGAUGCGAAAGCGUGGGGAGCAAACAGGAUUAGAUACCCUGGUAG
rnacentral:rRNA from 1 species